CCUACGGGAGGCAGCAGUAAGGAAUAUUGGACAAUGCUCGCAAGAGUGAUCCAGCCAUGCCGCGUGCAGGAAGACGGCCCUAUGGGUUGUAAACUGCUUUUGAACUAGAGAAAACCCUCCUACGUGUAGGAGGCUGAUAGUAUAGUUAGAAUAAGCAUCGGCUAACUUCGUGCCAGCAGCCGCGGUAAGACGAAGGAUGCAGGCGUUAUCCGGAUUCAUUGGGUUUAAAGGGAGCGUAGGUGGACUGAUAAGUCAGUGGUGAAAUCUCUCGGCUUAACCGAGAAAUUGCCAUUGAUACUGUUGGUCUUGAGUACAGUUGCUGUGGGCGGAAUAUGACAUGUAGUGGUGAAAUACAUAGAGAUGUCAUAGAACACCGAUUGCGAAGGCAGCUCACAAAGCUGUAACUGACACUGAGGCUCGAAAGUGCGGGGAUCAAACAGGAUUAGAUACCCUGGUAGUCCGCACCGUAAACGAUGAUUACUCGCUGCUGGGAGGUAACUUUCAGUGGCUUAGCGAAAGCGAUAAGAAUCCACCUGGGGAGUACGCCGGNAACGGUGAAACGUUAAAGGAAUUGACCGG
rnacentral:rRNA from 1 species